UAUCUUCUUACAAAGCUAGUUCGCCAAAAGAAAAAAAAAUUAAUCGAUGGGGAAAGAAGAGGAUCCAAAAAAAAAAUCAAGACAUGUUAUGUAUUAUAAGUUUUUCAUCAGGGAUUGUAAUUAAUGUGUUUAACACAAAACACAAUGUUCAAGAAAACUGGGAGGCAUUGAGAAGACAGAGGAUUGCAUCAGGCAAAAGCUAUAUCUUAGAACAGUGAAAGAACGAAUGUUAAUCAUGGCAAAUGACAACUUGAAAGAUAUACCCUGACGAUCAA
rnacentral:lncRNA from 1 species